rnacentral:rRNA from 1 species
UUGUGAGGUUAAGCGACUAAGCGUACACGGUGGAUGCCCUGGCAGUCAGAGGCGAUGAAGGACGUGCUAAUCUGCGAUAAGCGUCGGUGAGGUGAUAUGAACCGUUAUAACCGGCGAUUUCCGAAUGGGGAAACCCAGUGUGUUUCGACACACUAUCAUUAACUGAAUCCAUAGGUUAAUGAGGCGAACCGGGGGAACUGAAACAUCUAAGUACCCCGAGGAAAAGAAAUCAACCGAGAUUCCCCCAGUAGCGGCGAGCGAACGGGGAGGAGCCCAGAGCCUGAAUCAGUGUGUGUGUUAGUGGAAGCGUCUGGAAAGGCGCGCGAUACAGGGUGACAGCCCCGUACACAAAAAUGCACAUAUUGUGAGCUCGAUGAGUAGGGCGGGACACGUGGUAUCCUGUCUGAAUAUGGGGGGACCAUCCUCCAAGGCUAAAUACUCCUGACUGACCGAUAGUGAACCAGUACCGUGAGGGAAAGGCGAAAAGAACCCCGGCGAGGGGAGUGAAAAAGAACCUGAAACCGUGUACGUACAAGCAGUGGGAGCCUCUUUAUGGGGUGACUGCGUACCUUUUGUAUAAUGGGUCAGCGACUUAUAUUCUGUAGCAAGGUUAACCGAAUAGGGGAGCCGAAGGGAAACCGAGUCUUAACUGGGCGUUAAGUUGCAGGGUAUAGACCCGAAACCCGGUGAUCUAGCCAUGGGCAGGUUGAAGGUUGGGUAACACUAACUGGAGGACCGAACCGACUAAUGUUGAAAAAUUAGCGGAUGACUUGUGGCUGGGGGUGAAAGGCCAAUCAAACCGGGAGAUAGCUGGUUCUCCCCGAAAGCUAUUUAGGUAGCGCCUCGUGAAUUCAUCUCCGGGGGUAGAGCACUGUUUCGGCAAGGGGGUCAUCCCGACUUACCAACCCGAUGCAAACUGCGAAUACCGGAGAAUGUUAUCACGGGAGACACACGGCGGGUGCUAACGUCCGUCGUGAAGAGGGAAACAACCCAGACCGCCAGCUAAGGUCCCAAAGUCAUGGUUAAGUGGGAAACGAUGUGGGAAGGCCCAGACAGCCAGGAUGUUGGCUUAGAAGCAGCCAUCAUUUAAAGAAAGCGUAAUAGCUCACUGGUCGAGUCGGCCUGCGCGGAAGAUGUAACGGGGCUAAACCAUGCACCGAAGCUGCGGCAGCGACACUAUGUGUUGUUGGGUAGGGGAGCGUUCUGUAAGCCUGUGAAGGUGGCCUGUGAGGGUUGCUGGAGGUAUCAGAAGUGCGAAUGCUGACAUAAGUAACGAUAAAGCGGGUGAAAAGCCCGCUCGCCGGAAGACCAAGGGUUCCUGUCCAACGUUAAUCGGGGCAGGGUGAGUCGACCCCUAAGGCGAGGCCGAAAGGCGUAGUCGAUGGGAAACAGGUUAAUAUUCCUGUACUUGGUGUUACUGCGAAGGGGGGACGGAGAAGGCUAUGUUGGCCGGGCGACGGUUGUCCCGGUUUAAGCGUGUAGGCUGGUUUUCCAGGCAAAUCCGGAAAACCAAGGCUGAGGCGUGAUGACGAGGCACUACGGUGCUGAAGCGACAAAUGCCCUGCUUCCAGGAAAAGCCUCUAAGCAUCAGGUAACAUCAAAUCGUACCCCAAACCGACACAGGUGGUCAGGUAGAGAAUACCAAGGCGCUUGAGAGAACUCGGGUGAAGGAACUAGGCAAAAUGGUGCCGUAACUUCGGGAGAAGGCACGCUGAUAUGUAGGUGAAGCGACUUGCUCGUGGAGCUGAAAUCAGUCGAAGAUACCAGCUGGCUGCAACUGUUUAUUAAAAACACAGCACUGUGCAAACACGAAAGUGGACGUAUACGGUGUGACGCCUGCCCGGUGCCGGAAGGUUAAUUGAUGGGGUUAGCGGUAACGCGAAGCUCUUGAUCGAAGCCCCGGUAAACGGCGGCCGUAACUAUAACGGUCCUAAGGUAGCGAAAUUCCUUGUCGGGUAAGUUCCGACCUGCACGAAUGGCGUAAUGAUGGCCAGGCUGUCUCCACCCGAGACUCAGUGAAAUUGAACUCGCUGUGAAGAUGCAGUGUACCCGCGGCAAGACGGAAAGACCCCGUGAACCUUUACUAUAGCUUGACACUGAACAUUGAGCCUUGAUGUGUAGGAUAGGUGGGAGGCUUUGAAGUGUGGACGCCAGUCUGCAUGGAGCCGACCUUGAAAUACCACCCUUUAAUGUUUGAUGUUCUAACGUUGGCCCGUAAUCCGGGUUGCGGACAGUGUCUGGUGGGUAGUUUGACUGGGGCGGUCUCCUCCUAAAGAGUAACGGAGGAGCACGAAGGUUGGCUAAUCCUGGUCGGACAUCAGGAGGUUAGUGCAAUGGCAUAAGCCAGCUUGACUGCGAGCGUGACGGCGCGAGCAGGUGCGAAAGCAGGUCAUAGUGAUCCGGUGGUUCUGAAUGGAAGGGCCAUCGCUCAACGGAUAAAAGGUACUCCGGGGAUAACAGGCUGAUACCGCCCAAGAGUUCAUAUCGACGGCGGUGUUUGGCACCUCGAUGUCGGCUCAUCACAUCCUGGGGCUGAAGUAGGUCCCAAGGGUAUGGCUGUUCGCCAUUUAAAGUGGUACGCGAGCUGGGUUUAGAACGUCGUGAGACAGUUCGGUCCCUAUCUGCCGUGGGCGCUGGAGAACUGAGGGGGGCUGCUCCUAGUACGAGAGGACCGGAGUGGACGCAUCACUGGUGUUCGGGUUGUCAUGCCAAUGGCACUGCCCGGUAGCUAAAUGCGGAAGAGAUAAGUGCUGAAAGCAUCUAAGCACGAAACUUGC